GUGGGGAAUCUUGCGCAAUGGGCGAAAGCCUGACGCAGUCAUGCCGCGUGAAUGAUGAAGGUCUUAGGAUUGUAAAAUUCUUUCACCGGGGACGAUAAUGACGGUACCCGGAGAAGAAGCUCCGACUAACUUCGUGCCAGCAGCCGCGGUAAUACGAAGGGGGCUAGCGUUGCUCGGAAUUACUGGGCGUAAAGGGCGCGUAGGCGGACAGCUUAGUCAGAGGUGAAAGCCCAGGGCUCAACCUUGGAAUUGCCUUUGAGACUGGCUGACUUGAGUUUGGGAUAGGUGAGUGGAACUCCGAGUGUAGAGGUGAAAUUCGUAGAUAUUCGGAAGAACACCAGUGGCGAAGGCGACUCACUGGCCCAAUACUGACGCUGAGGUGCGAAAGCGUGGGGAGCAAACAGGAUUAGAAACCCUAGUAGUCC
rnacentral:rRNA from 1 species